rnacentral:rRNA from 1 species
CAGUAGCCGCGGUAAGACAGAGGAUGCAAGCGUUAUCCGGAAUGAUUGGGCGUAAAGCGUCUGUAGGUGGCUUUUCAAGUCCGCCGUCAAAUCCCAGGGCUCAGCCCUGGACAGGCGGUGGAAACUACCAAGCUGGAGUACGGUAGGGGCAGAGGGAAUUUCCGGUGGAGCGGCGAAAUGCGUUGAGAUCGAAAAGAACACCAACGGCGAAAGCACUCUGCUGGGCCGACACUGACACUGAGAGACGAAAGCUAGGGGAGCAAAUGGGAUUAGAUACCCGGGUAGUCCCUGUCUCUUAUAC